UGUGCAAACCUGGUCAAGAACUACAGGAAACAUAUGAACUCUGUAAUUGCAAACAAACGUUUCUGUACAAAAUAUUAGGUUCUGCUUUUCUGAUAUAUCAAAUACUUAUGACAUGAAACAAAAUGACAAA